UUUCCAUAUAUAUAGAGAGCUUAUACGAGUGUUUUUAAUAAUUCAUUUGACUUCUGCACACCGUAGUUCUUCCAAAAUGAAUCAGAUGGUAAAUAAUGGUCAUAAUCAUGAAGCAUCCCAGCUUGAAGAUGAUAACCUAAUCACUAAAGAGCUAACUUCUGAGAAAAAACUGAGAUGUAUUUGAAGUUGGUUGAUUCCACGCAAGGUCGUGUGUUUGAUCUAGGAUCUCUUCUUACUGAAGUUUCACUUAAUGGUAAAAUGCCAGUCACCAUUAAAGCCACUUAGAAAGUGAUGAGUUCAAAAAAAAAAGAUACAAGGCAUUUCUGAAGAGAAUGAAGAUAUCAAAGAAAGGCUGGGCAAACUUGAAGGCUUGGAAAAAAUGAUUGGGAUCAUUUUUCCAGCUAUUCUAUCAGGGGUGUCAACAACUAAGUUUCAAUUGGCGGCUUUUGUUAUUUUUCUAAAGUUUUAUUAGUUGU